UACGAAGGGGACAAGCGUUGUUCGGAAUCAUUGGGCGUAAAGGGCGCGUAGGCGGGUUUGUAAGUCGAUUGUGAAAUCCCUGGGCUUAACCCGGGAAUUGCAGUCGAAACUGCAAGUCUUGAAUGCUCGAGAGGAUGGUGGAAUUCCUGGAGUAGUAGUGAAAUACGUAGAUAUCAGGAGGAACACCGGAGGCGAAGGCGGCCAUCUGGCGAGACAUUGACGCUGAGGCGCGAAAGCGUGGGGAGCAAACAGG
rnacentral:rRNA from 1 species